GCUUUCUGCUGGAGAUUCCUGUUGUAUUCCUCUGCUUCAUUGAUUCUAAGUGUGCUCCUUUCUCAUAUGAGCGGGCUUUUGACUUCAAUACUUCAAUUGUAUUCCCUUAUUCUCCAGGUGGGUGCCUGAUUUCUAUUUUCUUUGUCCUUGUUCUCCAGUUGGACGCCUGAUUUCUAUUUUUCUUUGUCCUUGUUCUCCAGGUGGACUCCUGAUUUCUUCCUUCCUUUGUCCUUGUUCUCCAGGUGGACGCCUGAUUUCUUCCUUCCUUUGUCCUUAUUCUCCAGGUGGACGCCUGAUUACUUCUUUUCUUUGUCCUUGUUCUCCAGGUGGACGCCUGAUUUCUUCCUUCCUUUGUCCUUCUUCUCCAGGUGGACGCCU
rnacentral:lncRNA from 1 species